GAUGAACGCUGGCGGCGUGCCUAAUACAUGCAAGUCGAGCGAACGGACGAGAAGCUUGCUUUUCUGAUGUUAGCGGCGGACGGGUGAGUAACACGUGGAUAACCUACCUAUAAGACUGGGAUAACUUCGGGAAACCGGAGCUAAUACCGGAUAAUCUUUUGAACCGCAUGGUUCAAAAGUGAAAGACGGUCUUGCUGUCACUUAUCGAUGGAUCCGCGCUGCAUUAGCUAGUUGGUAAGGUAACGGCUUACCAAGGCAACGAUGCAUAGCCGACCUGAGAGGGGGAUAGGCCACACUGGAACUGAGACACGGUCCAGACGCCUACGGGAGGCAGCAGUAGGGAAUCUUACGCAAUGGGCGAAAGACUGACGGAGCAACGCCGCGUGAGUGAUGAAGGUCUUCGGAUCGUAAAACUCUGUUAUUAGGGAAGAACAUAUGUGUAAGUAACUGUGCACAGCUUGACGGUACCUAAUCAGAAAGCCACGGCUAACUACGUG
rnacentral:rRNA from 1 species